CCGGGUACAGGAACACGGAACACGGACAAGGGCUUUCGCUGCUCUGCCGCUGGCUGCCGGGGCUGACCGCAGAGCGGUGUGCGGAAGGCCUCGGGGUUUGGCCACAGGAGGAUGCUGCUGCCUCCUUCCCAAGACCGGCACAGCGCCCACAUGUGAAACCUGCCAUGAACAAACCCUCGGGCCUCACCUCCCGGGGUCUGGGCCCAGAAGCAGCACCGCCAUCCUCCCGUCUGGCAAGAACAGCUUCUUCAAGGUCACGGCGUGUCCUUCUCCUUCCCAGGCCUGACAUCUCAGCCUGGAGCUGGCUGGGGCCCGACAAUGUCACCUCCCCUGCGUCUCAGCUUGCUCUUCCCCGGGCCUUCUCCCAAAACCUUCUCCAAGGCACCUCAUCACCCACGAGAUGGGCUGAAACUCAGACCCUGCUGACCUCUCAUCCCUGGGCAGCUCCCACAGAUUUAAGCCCAAAUAAAAUUCCUGAUGUCAGGGGU